UACAGAGGUCCCAAGCGUUGUUCGGAUUCACUGGGCGUAAAGGGUGCGUAGGUGGUUAGGUAAGUCCGAUGUGAAAUCUCCAGGCUCAACCUGGAAAUGGCAUUGGAUACUAUUUAGCUUGAGGAGUGGAGGGGGGACUGGAAUACUUGGUGUAGCAGUGAAAUGCGUAGAUAUCAAGUGGAACACCAGUGGCGAAGGCGAGUCCCUGGACAGAUCCUGACGCUGAGGCACGAAAGCUAGGGGAGCAAACAGG
rnacentral:rRNA from 1 species